GACCCAGCCUUCCUCUGGUUUAAAGGAGCCGCUACUUUCCCCGUUGGAUCAGCUCCAGGAGCAACUUCGUCGAGAGUCUGGGAAUAGAAGGGUUAACACACUGCUGCUCGGCGCUGCCUACUACAACCGCCUUUACGCGGCAUUUUUAGUCCAGACUGGCUAUAUUCACUAUAUAGCCAAGGUGGUCUCUUGCUCCAGCCUCCUGAGUGCUUGGGGUUACAGCAUCUGCCUGGCCUUCUAUGUAAAGACCUGGAAGAACAAGGGCACCCAAGAGGAUGAGCCCAGAAGUCUAGUUACUGCUUUUGCUGCAUUGAAGAAUGUCUGUGACCUGCUGGCAUCUAUAAACAGUAGCAGGCUACUUUGUCAGCCUGCAAGCAGAAGCUGAUGCCCCACCGGAUGAGGAGGUUCCAGUUGGAAUUAUGGUCAAAAUAGUGGUGCACGAUCUUUGGGAAUCGCAGCACCACGUCACCAAAGAAGGCUGUGUUCUCCACCACGUGGGAGAAAGCUGGCAAGAGAAUCUUGCAGGGUGUCCCUGAACUCUGAUCCUGCCUCUACCCACCAAGUGCUGGGAUUACAGGGGUGUGCAUCUGAUGGAGGAUGUCCUUCUGUAUGCUGUGAAUAUAUGUUUCUUUUAUUGGUUGAUGAAUAAAGCUGUUUCGGCCAAUG